rnacentral:misc_RNA from 1 species
GUAGGUGAACCUGCGGAAGGAUCAUUAUUGAAAUAAACCUGAUAGGUUGUUGCUGGUUCUCUAGGGAGCAUGUGCACACCUUGUCAUCUUUAUAUCUCCACCUGUGCACCUUUUGUAGACCCUUCCAGGUCUAUGUUGCUUCACUUACACCAAUGUAUGUUAAUAGAAUGUUGUGCCUAUAAAAUAUAUACAACUUUCAGCAACGGAUCUCUUGGCUCUC